AGCGAACGCUGGCGGCAGGCCUAACACAUGCAAGUCGAACGAACUCUUCGGAGUUAGUUGCGGACGGGGGGGUAACACGUGGGAACGUGCCUUUAUGUUGGGACUAACUCUGGGCAAAUUGUGCUAAUACCGAAUGAGCUCUUCUGGGGAAAGAUUUCUCGCCUCGAGAGGUGCACGCGUAGUAUAAGCGAUUGGUUGAGGUAAAGGCUCACCAAGGCGAUGAUAGGUAGCUGGUCUGAGAGGAUGUUCAGCCACAGUGGGACUGUGACACGGCGCGAACUUCUGCGGGAGGCAGCAGGGGGGAAUCUUGCGCAAUGGGCGAGAGACGGACGCAGCCAGGCCGCGUGAAUGAUGAAGGUCUUAAGAUUGUAAAAGUCUUUCAACAGCGACGAUAAUGACGGUACCCAGAGAAGAAGCCCCGGCUAACUUCGUG
rnacentral:rRNA from 1 species